GUGAGCUAUGAUGGCACAAAUGCACUCCAGUCUGGCCAACAUAGCAAAACACUGUCUAAAAAUAAAAACAAGAAGAAAGUAUCAAGUACUAAGUUAUAAACCUUAGCUUCCUCCCUUAUCAACUAAGUUGCUCCCUUACCCUAAGAAAUCCUGGACAUGGCUUUGAAUUUAUUCCCUGAAUUGGCCUAAUUAACCUCUUAGAUAUUAUCCUUCUUGCCAAUCUGUGAGAUGAACAGGCCUCAUUCAUACUUAGGCAGUUCCUCUAGUCUCUGAAGAGGUGGGGUUGAAUUACAGGUAGGUCGUAUUUAUGCAGCCAUAAAGGAAGAAAGGAUUUAGUCCGGUGAACAGAUGACAAAGUAUUGGCAUAUUAAUCCUGUAUUAGUCCGUUCUCAUGCUGCUAAUGAAGACAUACCCGAGACUGGGUAAUUUAUAAAGGAAAGAGGUUUAAUUGACUCACAGUGACAUGGCUGGGGAGGCCUCACAAUCAUGGCAGAAGAUGAAGGAAUAGCAAAGGGACUUCUCACGUGGUGCACGUAAGAGGCUGUGUACAGGGAAACUCCCUUUUAUAAAACCAUCAGAUCUCCUGAGACUUAUUCACUAUCAUGAGAACAUCACAGGAAAGUUCCACCCCCAUGAUUCAAUUGCCUCCCAUUGGGCCCCUCCCAUGACGUGGGAAUUAUGGGAGCUAAAAUUCAAGAUGAGAUUUGGGUGAGGACAUAGCCAAACCAUAUCAAAUCCUAAGUAACAUGAGCAUUUUAUGAUGUUGUAAAAUCACUCUUCUUUGUUUUCAUUGUUUCAUGAGAUAUGGAUAAGACGAUUGUGUUGGUAUUUAACAAGGUUUGAAAGAGGUAUGUUCAAAAUUUGGUAGAUUUUUAAAAAUUUAAAAAUAAUUGUUGGGGAGAAAUAGUUCUUCCCUACUUACGUGGCCUUCUGUGCAGAGGGAAUUUUAUCAGUGUAAGGCUCCUGACUGCUCUGUCCCUUCAUCCACUCUGCCUCAAAGCAGCUAGACUGAUGUUUGGAUUGGUCAAUUUGAAAUGAAUAUGAUUAAGUUUAGUACCUCUGUCCUUCUUCCUUUGGGAGUGAGCUGCCUACAUGAUAAUCCUUUUGCCACCACUCUGUGGGGUCAGCCUUCUCCCCAUCUGCAGGAGGCAGCUCUCACCUACUUACCCUGAGUUCAGUGGACAGUAAUGACACCCAACCACCUUGUUCUGAGUUGUGUCUUACAACUUAACCUUUAAUAACUCAGCUCUUACCUCUUCACUUCCUGUGUCUUAUUUUUCUAGAUGUUCAUCACUUUAACUGGGAAAGGAGAUACUGUGUAUUAGACCCCCAGCCCUCAAAACUCCGACUACAGUGAACACUAGGCUACACAAUGGGCAUAAAAAUAAGAACUGUUGAUUGUUUUUGCAAGGUUAGUAGUUUGUAUUAGGUAGAAGAAAGGGUGGGUGAAUCUUCUUUCCUUCAAGGAGCAUAUAAUCACACAUAAACGGUUAGAAGCAAUAAGAGAGGGUCUGUAGGCCUUAAUGAGUGGAGCAGACAGAACUAAGGAAAAUUAGAGGAAAAAGAUACUGGCUGGAAAGCCUAAUAGGGAGGUAAAAUUUCAGCUGAGCCCUAAGGAAAGGGUGGUACAUGCAUUCCAAAAAGUGCAGUGUUCUAUUAAUGGAAAAGUAAGCACAUCAGGCUGGUUCUGUUGCAAAUAUAUAUUUAUAAUUACUUCCUGUAAGUAACUGAAAAGUCUAUCAUUACACUAAAAAAUGUAAAACCUUCUAUAAAACCGAGGUCAUAGCAGCAGCUGCAACAUCAGCAUGUUCUGUCUCACUCUGCAGAGACAGCACAACUUCCAGUGCUAUUCACAAUGGACUUGGGAGAAAUUUGGCAUGAAAUAACCAUGAUAUUUAAUGAAGAAAACAAACCUCUGAAAGUUGACGCAAAAGCUGAGGUCUCUUCCGAGUAACCACAAUGGACAUGCUAACCAAAGAUGGGACUAACUCUGAGAACUUAAAGCCAACAAGGGGAGUUGGCUGCACCUGCAUCAGAACAAAAUGUGGUGGUUGGUCCCUGACCCGGCAUAAGACAGGAAAGUCACCUGCGUGGUAGAAUUGUGGGCACCAGCACACACUUCACUCAGGUGAAGCCUCAGUGAGAGCCCUCCUGUCCUGUCCUGCCCUAUCCCAUCCCAUCCUGUCCUGAGAGAUGGAGGCUUUUAGAUAAGCAGAGGGAAGAGGGGAAGACCCCCAGCACUUGGAGGGAGAAUAAAAACCUCAGGCAGGAAAACAUAAGAGGUACUUAGAGAAGACAGGGCAGGAGGGUAGAAAUCUUGAUGUCUAUAAGCCUUGGUUGACUUUGAAGAUUUAUCUUUUAAUGCCAUUAUCUCAUGUUAAUUAAUAAUGGCAACUUCACUUUCUGUCUUCAUGGCAUUGUGACACUGCCUUUCAGAAACCACAGUGAUGUUUACAGAUCUGCUUUUGCCUGGUUUUUCUAUGAAUAAACUGUGCGCUGAGCCAGCCACAAACUGACUCAGGCCUUCUUAUGACCAGUACCAGGCACUCACACUGCUGUUGGCCAAGAGCUUCCUAUGGCUGCACAGCAGAGUCAAAUUAAUACGAAUGCCAUCCUUACAUUUGGGAGACAGGCUAACAGUUUACAGGCUCCAGAGCACUUUCACAUCUCUUCACAUUUAAUCCUCGGAUCACAUCUAGUGUUCAUCAGGCACAACUGGAAGGCCACGUGCUAGUGGACCACAUCUGGAAUAGCCUGUGUUUGGAGAGACAUCUGGCACUCUCCCCCAUCACCUUCCUUCUUCUCUCCUCAGAGAACUUGGGAUAUGGAGUCAAGACACCUGGCUUUCAGGCCCAGAUCUUCUAUUAACUGACGAGGGGCUUGUGGGCAAGCUCACGCCACUUAUCUGGGUAUAAUUGCGUACUGGGUGAUUUCUAAAGUAGAAGUUCUUCCUGCUCCAAGAUACUAUUAUGCUGUGACAAUCUAGAGAAGUAGACAGUGAUGAUAUUGAUACUUUCCUUAAAAAUGGGACCCUGUUAUUCAGAGAAUUUAAUGACUCCUCCAAGAUUACACAGAUGGUAAGCAGCAACAUCUCUAAAUGUUUCAUUUAGUGUUUUUUCCACUAUGUCGCACACGUGUGUGAGCACAAUGUGGAUUAACCUUGACCUGCUUAGCUCUAGCUCAGAUAACCAGAUGCAGAUGGAGGAAUCCAUGCUUUCAGCGAAACUAUAUUAAUUACUUGGACAGUAUGUGGCUAAAUAAGAUUCCACAAACUGACAGCUUGCAGACAGAAUUUGUCCUGAAGUUCUGUUUUAUUUGAACCCUAGAGUGUUUUAUUUAAAAAAUUUGACAUGUUGCUAUAUUUUAAAUUGGGGAUAUUUACAUAAAAAUCCAAAAUUUCAAGUUCUCUUAAAAAGCCAAAAGAUUUGGCAACAUGGCAAUAAUGGGCUGAAAUGGGUUCAUCAUUAUAUUGUCCCUUCAGUUAGUAUUUUCCUACUUCCAUACUGUUGACAUUUGGGGCUGGAUAAUUCUUUGUUGUGGAGAGACUGUCCUGUGUAUUUUGGGCUGUCUAGCAGCAUUCAUAGCCUAUACUUACCAGAUGCCAAAAGCACCUACCCCUCUGUUGUGACAAUCAGUGUGACAUUGCCAAAUGUCCUUUGGCUGGGGGGCAGAAAAUUUCCUUAUGUUGAGAAUGAUUGCUGUAGGCAUUUGAAUAGGGAUCCUUGGGAAACAGAAGAGCUAGAGAAGAUGUAGUCAGAUGCUCUCAGUUUACAGAGAAGGAAACUGAAGCCCAACCAGAGAGGUUAAGUAACUUGCCCACAGUGACACAACUGGAACAAUGGUGACAGACCUAGGACUGGAACCCGGGUUCUCUGACGCCUUGUGCAAUGCACUUUUUACCUUAACCUGCUUCCAAAGCCCUCACCUGUCCACUGUGUGGAAGGACGAGUACAUUAAUUUGCUAAUUUCCUACCCACUUGAUUUUCUGAUCAUGAAGGUCUGACCGCUGCUUUCCCUUUUGUAAGUGUGUCAGAGUCAAACAGAGCAGCCCUCCAUUCCAAGGGAGCAUUUUCUGGAUACAGGCCGCCCAUAUUGUUUGACUCAGAUAGGAAGGGAUGUUGCAUAAACACUUACCUUAUUCUCUGAUCCAGUCAUUUAUGUAAGAUUGUCCUCAUCCCAGCCAAUUCAGAUCAUCAGUCUCUUUUGCAUUCUUGAAUCAACAUUUCCUCUGAAGCCGCUUAGAAAGUGUGCAGCCAGAAACAAAUGUUUGUGUGAAGUCAUUUGUCACUCUGCAAAUUCCUUAGAAAUGUGGUUAUACAACAGUUGGAUAUCAUUGAUAUGCUUGGAAUUUGUUUCAUCAUCUCAGAACUCAUCCUUUUUGAUAAAAACAAUUUUAGAAAACUAUUAAUGAUUUCUCACAGGAAGUAUUUUCUUUUCACAAUAAUAAAUUCCUCUGAUGUGAGAAAGUACCUACCAGGCUCACUGGACCAGAAGCCCUGAAUGCUUAGUUUUCAGUUUUAGCUCUGCCACUAUCUAACCUGAUGGCCUAAACAGGGCCAUAUCUUUCUCAAUGGUGUUUGGGCGACCACUAAGAUCCCUUGACACUCUCAUAUGGAUCAUAUUAGAGUCUGUUAGAGUCCUUGUGAGCUUUCUCCUAUUACUGAGUCUUGUUUUACCUGGUUUGACUGCUGAAGUUUUGACAGAAAAAGCCCAGAACACACCUGUUGUAAAAUGUUAUUUAUUUACCAACUUACAGUGGGACCAGCCCACAGGUUAAUUCGAAGUUUUUCUAGUUGUCAGUGAAAUAUCUUAGUUAGAAAGUAACGUGCCAGACAGUAAAAUAAUUUUAAAAUCUGCUUUGUGGGUACAGUAAGUCUCCCCUUAUCCAAGAGGGAAAAGUUCCAAGACUGCCAGCGGGUGCCUAAAACCAUGGAUUGUAGGAACCCUAUCCAGCACAGUUCUGUUCACGUCCACCCACAAAUUUAAUACCUUUUUCAUCCUAACUAAGCACUUAUCAUGUUCUGUGGCCAUAGCUUUUCAGUUUAAAAGGCAACAGCAAAACUAGCACACAUUUUUUUCCUCUUCACAAUUUAACAGAUAGAUUUGUUCUUAGAUUUCAGACUUCAGCAUACAAUUCCUUUUUUCUUAUUAAGUUGAGAACCUCCUUGUUUUCAUGUAAAGCAGACUCUUUAUGGCUUCUCUUUGGCGUGUCCAAAUUGUCAGCGUCACUAUGCUUGUGGUUGGGGCCAUUAUAAAGUAACAUAAGGGUCUCUUGGACACAAGAACUCUGAUACUAUGACAGCAAAUCUGUUAAUCAGGAAUUCUACUAAGUAAAUCACCGACAGGGAGGGUAGACAGCAUGGAGACGCUGGACCAAGAGAGGAUUCACAUCCUGGGUAAGGUGGGGAGGGAGGGCACACAGUUUAAAACUUAUGAAUUGUUUAUGUCGGAAUUUUUCAUUUAAUAUUUUCAGACCAUGGUUGACCCCAGAUAACUGAAACUACAGGAGUGAGAACACAGGCAAAGAGUUACAACUGUAUAUGCUUCUUGGGUGUCCUACUGAGUGUCAGAAUCACUUGAGAAUGCAAUGAUGCAGGAAUCAACCUCCUCCUGCCUCCCACUCCCCUUAGAUCUCCCCCUCAAUCUGGUAGGACUUUUCAUAAAUUGUGACCUGAAAUUUACGGAGGGCUGUUGUGUGACCACUCACCACUGCAGCCACAUGGCCAUAAAUAUGUUCUCGUUUUCUUGUCUUCUAUCCUGGCACAUCUCUCUCUCUGGCACAGUGUCCGUCCACCUCAGCUUCUGAUUGUCUCUUUCUUUUGAACUUGAUAGGGGAUCGGCACAUGAAAGACAGGUGGCUAGAAAGCAUAACAGAAUUGCCACAUAUGCAGGAGUUGUGUGUCACCUCCCUUGUGUAAUGUUUGGGUGGGCUUGAUUAUAAGGUCCAUUUGAACAAGUAGAGGAGGGGAACAAGUGGGACAGAGGCUCAGAUGCAUGAAUAGUGUGUUAAGGAAGCUGCAAUUUGGACUCACCCAAGACACACCAGAUUCUCAACAUAGAGCUGUAAGACUCCAUGCUAGAGAAAUCCUGAUCAGGAUUAGUUGAGGCAUUGGGCAAGGCUGGACCUAUGGAUAAAGCCUUCAGUACGCAGAACUGAGCAGGUCUAGGAGGCCAAUACGAACAAUUCACUUCAUCUCCUAACCUCAGUCAUUCAUAAUCUGACCCUUAUUGUAAGUCUCUGUGUGAAGAGAGACUUUUGUCUUUUUACUAAGAAGGAAAUCAAAUUGCCUGACUUAAAUUUUUGCUUAAUAAAACAAUGUUAACAAUUACCAAUUGAACAGUGACUUUAUGUCAGACAUUCUGCCUGUGUAUUAUUUUAACAGAACGUCGCAGGGAACUUUAAGGGUAAUUGUUGGCUGUUCUUGUGUAUGCCUUUUUACUUGCUUUGUUAAUUAAAAAACUACUGAGUUUUAACUGGGCCCAUGGUAUUCCAGCUAAAGAUUACAUCUUCCACCUUGCCUUACAGAUUAAUGUGGCCAUGUGAUUAAGUGCUAGCUCACUGGAUGUGGACAGAAAAGGUGUGAACAACUUGAGGUUUAUGCCCAUAAGGAAGGAUUGUGUCUUCUCACUCCCCUUCUCCUUUCCCUCUGGCUGGAAGGUGAACAUGAGGCAGGAGUUGAGAAAAGACAGUGUAGCCAUGAGAUGAAAGCUGAGUAUUUCUGAAGAUGCAGAACAGGCCAGGCGGAGUCUGGUCCCGAGACUGUGGAACCGCCCUCUCAGCUCUAGACUGAUUAUGUUCAGAAUAGCAUGAGAGAGGAAUUAACACCUGCUUCUUUUAAGCCACAAUUAUUUUGACUUUCGUUACAAUAGCCAGACCUGUUUCCUAAUGGUUACUGGUUUUCAUUUUGUAUCCUUUGUGCAAAUGAGCAUCUAAGCCUCAAAAAAGACAAGACAAAUAACUAAUCUAAAAUUGUUUCUGAAGUGGUCCCCUCAUACAGCUCAAAUACAAUGCUUUCUUGUAGAAUUUAUCUCUGAUAUGGAAAUGCUAGUGAAAUCAUACAGCCCUCUCCCCAUACCACAGGAAUGCCCAGCUCUGAACAAAGGGUACCUUUGGGAACAUGUGCCUGGCUCGGUUUUCUUAUGUGUGAGCCCAUGUCGGGGGUAGGCAGGGAUGCAUUCUUUGUUCAUUUCCAACCUGGGACUCCAUCCACAUCACAGGCCGGGUUCAUGUGAAGAUUAAAAUAACCUACGUGGUGGUUCAAUACAUCAUAAUAAUUAUCACAUUUUCCUAGUAUCAGUAUUACUACUAUUUAAGGGCUUAUGUUUGGAAUUUCAUCUAUUUAAAGCAAAGUUUUAGCACCAAAAUCAAAAAUAUGUUCCAAGGUACUUUAUUUGUUCACUUAAAAGUUUUAAAUAUUGUAUGUUAGUGAGAUUUGGGUUGUGAGAGCUGUGAUAGCAUCUCUGAUUUACUUUUUUCUCAGGGGACUGAGGGGCUACUUGUGAGAUGGCAAAAAAGAGAUAUGGCAACCAGAAUAUCCCUCAGUCAUCCCUGACAAGUUCUCUUACAUCUUCACACAAAGUAAGAGGGCUGCCACUUCACAGUAAUCUCAGCACUCCUAAUGCCAUUUGGAAAAUUCUAGACUUGGAUUAAGCACUACUCAGGCAGGACAGCUCAUGGAUAUCUGUGAGCCAUGACUUGAGGCCCAUCAUCUCUGAAGCUAUUUCCAAGUUAGUCAGCAUCAUACGAACAAACAGAGGGAGAGGCAGAAAGAGAAAUUUCUUUUCCUAUAAUGUAUAUGUUAUGUUAACAAUAGAAUACAAUGAAGUUAAGGGAUCAUGUAUGAAUGUAAAAGCCCCUGCAUCACCACUGUGUUCAGUACUUUAUGUAUCACCUUUGUCUUUUCCACAAUAUGCUUCUUACAUGUUCCCCCACUCUUGCCAUAGUUACCUUUCAAUUGUCAAAUGUUGUUUUCUUAGAGCAUCGGGGUUCUCAUUUGCUAGACUUUUUUUUUUUUUGCAGUUUAUUAUUAUUUACCUCUCUUUACUAAACUUUAGCAUCUUACCUAUAUUAUGUCCUUUUUAUCAAAGUUAAGUGAAAUAUAGAUCUUGAAUUUUCUCUUUCUUUAAUAAUUUCUUAUUGCUUGAGGAAUAUAUUCCUAUAAUAUUGUAUAUGUGACUAGGGGGCCAGAUGGGACAGGAAAGGAAAAUGGUUUCUAAGUGAUUGAAGGCGAUGCUUAUCGUCUGUCAAGUCAGGACUAUGAGGCCACAUAAUGUGGAAACAAGGCAGGUACAUUUCUUCAACACUGAACAUUCUUGAUGGGCUACUGUAUGCCACAGCCUAGGAAUAAAAAUUUAAUGAAGGGUCUACCUGUGCCUCUGGAAGCUUAUAAUCUGUGGGAUAGCCAAGUAACAGGAAAUUUCAGAGCAGUGUGCUGGGUGCUGCCGUGGGGAUAGCCACAGGGUGCUAGAGUAACAGACAGUAAUGAUACCCAACUUGGUAUUAGGAAAAUCAGGAAGGUUUUCUGGAUGGAAGGGUGGUGUUUAAAUGAGACCUGAGUAGAGGCUGUCCAUGCAAAAAAGUGGAAAAUAUCAUGGCAAGCUUCCAGAGAUUUGGAAGUGUGGGAUCACUGAAUAGUUCCAUGCAUCUGGAGCAUAGAGUGGAAGAAGGGAAAGAAAUAAACAUUUUUGAGUAUGUACCAUAUACCAGACACUGUGCACUACCUAACCAAAUUCUCACACAAAUCUUUUAGAGGGUAUAAUUAUCACCAUUUAUGGUUGAAGAACAUGGCCUCAAAAGGUACCUUGAUAGGUAUCACACAGCUCAUGAGUAGUAGGUCUGGGAUUCAAAUUCAAGUCUAAUUCCAAAGACUGUGUUCUUUCUGUCCAUAGCAAUGACUCCAGAGCAAGAGGCCAGCCAAGAGAGAGCAGGCUUUAAUGAACUGGAUAGAAGCUACAGGGAGUCAGACGUGGGCUUCAGGUAACCACAUGGAGGCAGGGUAACAGCUGGCACAAGACUUCCAGGACAUGGGCAAUGAUUGGGAAGAUGUGUUGACAAACUGCCCAGGUGGUGGGGCAUGAGGCCCAAAGGUCAAAAUUUAGAAGAAUAAAAAGGCAAAAUCAAAUUUCUGUGUAGACGUUAACUGGAAUUUGAUGUGGAAGCAUAUAACUAGACAGAAGAGGGGAGGAGUUAGAAGAGACAGGGCCAAGUGCCAUGCUGAGAGGCUGAAGCUAUAGAGAAUGUGGCCAAGGAAAGAGGCUCCUCGUGAUGAGGUAUCUGAAAGACUUUAAAUAAUAGGAAUGUCCAAUAUGUAAUCAUAGGUUGUUUGGUUGCUGUCCUGUAAACUCUAAUAUUUGCCCGAAUUCUCCUGCUAAAUUCCAUCCCAUACAUCACACAAUUUUGUGUUUGAGACAGGUUCCAGUGGAAUGUCCAAACAGGAAACGGGGAAUGUUCAGUGUGGAGGGACAGGGUAUACAGAAGGGGAAGCAGGCACAGAAAAGAGAGAGAGCCCAUACAUGGAGUGAUUAGGCUCAGCCAGAGGUAGCCAGAAACACCAUAAACAACCUGCCCACAUGUCAAAGAUAAGCAGAGAGUUUCAGAGGGUUGUUAAAUGGCUCACCACAUAAGGAAUGAGAACGCAAAACAAUUUCAUUUCAAUCCUGAAAGGGCAAGUUGACCUCAGCUGAUGUGUGGCUUAUGAAAAGAAGAUAUUUCUAAUAGAGCUCCUCAAGGAUUAAGUAGGCAACCUUGGACAGCAGUUAAGUUUCCACCCCUGGUAAUAUGUAGUCAAAAAGGACACAGACUCAGGCAUGGCAGUUGUAGGACAGAUUCAGGUGUUGGAUGGGGACAGACUGCAUAACCCAUCAAGCUCCUUCCCAACACCAAGAGUCCAGCCUAAGAAAGCAAGUUGUAAGGCUCCCAAAUUAAUUAAAUAUUCAAGCAAAUCGGACUUGCAUUUGGGAAUGCACGAAUGAAGGUGUGAAUAGGAAAUUCACCCAAACAGGUUAAAACUAAAACUGAACCAUUAAUAUCCAAGAGAAGGAUACAGCUGCUUUGCUAUUCAGACAACUUUCUGAUUCAAUCCAAUCUUUCUCAUGUGCUUCCUGCUCUCCUAAUAGGUCACUUGGUUUAGACAGUCUGGGAUUUGCUUUCAGAGCAGGUGGAUAAACUUACCUGUACCAAUGGAGAUUAAGAUUUCAGCAGCCUGAAAGGUUUCAGCAACACAUCUAACCUGUUGAGGAUUUUCUUGCAUUUUGAGGUUCAUGCCCAGGCCUAGCCAUCCUUUCUCCCAGUUCAUUAGUGAUGCCCACCAGGCGGGAGGUGCUUUGAGGGAAUGAAAGUCCACCAGCUUCAAAAGAAAAGGGAAUAAAAGUGAAGCCAGAAAGAUUAACAGCAGCAAUAUAGGCAGAAACCUGGUAACAAUGAGCUUGCCUCUCCAUGGCCUGGCCAGAAAGAAGCAAGAAAAUGUUGCUUCAACCCCUAGACCGUGUGCAAGGACAGGGUACACACUAAUUGCUAAAACACAUGUUAGAAGGUUAAAAUUUUGAAUAAUUUCCUUGAUUUUCUCUCACACUGAACUCAGAACAGUACAUGCAAUUUAGAGGGAAAAAAAACCUAAGUAAAUAUGAUAUUCUGCCAAUGCUCUAAUUUUACGUGUUAGCCAGGGAUGAAGAAAGCUUGGGUACAUGAAAUUCACAGACAAACCUUACGUUUUUAAAAAGCAGACUUUAUUGGUUUGAAUUUCAGCAUGUAAGGUAUUUCUGCACCCACCCAUGGUAGGGCAACAGUGAGAAUAGCCAGAAGUCACGAAGGAGGAGGAGGCACAAAGAACAUACACUAACUACAGACUGGAUCGUCAGCCCUAAGAAAUUGACUGUAGACCUCAAAUAGUUCCUGCUAUUUGAAAUAAUAAUAAAAUUUCCCAUAUGCAACCAGUCUAGGGCCUCCAGUCUAGUGCGGCAUUCUUGGUGACAUUUUCAAAUUGUUUCAUAUGCCACAGUCCUCCACUGAGCAGGACAAAACACACCUCCGGGUGUCAAACACACAUAGAAUAGGUUUGAAAGACCACCAAGUUCAGUUCUUUCUCCCAAGUGUCCUCCCUUUGUGGAAACUUGAAGUAAAUUUACAACCCCACCUAGUAAUUCCAAAAGAUAAAAUCACAUUUAAGCUACCCCUUGGCUUUAGAAAUGUUUUUCUUCCAAGAAACUGUUCUUGCAAUAGUAAAAAAUGUUAAAGCUGACCACUCGUCCUUUUAUUUAACAAGUAUUUUUGAAUCCUUCCUCCAGGCCACCAUGCUAGACAUGGAAAAUACAAAGAUCUGUUGAUGUCUUUGAAUAGCCUUGAGUCUCUUGUUCAUGCAGACAAGAUUAAGAUUAAAUGAAUUAAUCACAAAGUGCAGAUGUACACCCUGUGCCUAAAUCUUCCCCCUGGGUAUUGGGAAGGCCUCACAGCAAAGGUGGAGCCUGAGCUGAGCAGCUGAUGGUUGAGUGGGAGUUUAUCAGAUAACAGACAGGUGAAUGGCAUUUCAGAAGGAGGGACUAGAAUGUUGCAAAGGUACCAGAGUGGGAGAGAAUAUGACAGUGGCUUGAGGAGAGUAAGUGGCACCAGGGUGAAGGUAGUACGUUGCAUGCUGUAAUCAUGCAAGUGUUUUUCUGGAA